GCAGGGGUCAGCCUAACUAAAUUGCAGUUUUGAGCUACAACAGAUCUUGAAAGCACCAACGCCCUAGUUGGGGCUGCCUUUCCUGCUUGUUUGUGCAAGUAAGAAAGUGCUUGAUACUUGGAGCUCUUCCCCACACUCCUGUGGAUCCGCUUCCACUUAUCCCUUCUCCCUUCUGUCCCCUCCUGUUUGGAAGAGACAUCUGCUAUUUUAAUGAAAGCAUGGAACGAAGCACUUGCCGUAAGCCCGGCGGAGCUCGACCAGAUGUUUCACAGUGCAAGAAGCUAGGUAACGGAACAAAGGUUACAAAAGAGACCUGCAGAGGUGAAAGUGAGGCUCCACAGGGCAAGCUCACAAAUUUGGAUAGAACCAAAAUGGAACAAUUGGUGAACUCUGUGAAAAACAAUCUUAGUGAAAUGAAUGAUCAGUUAGAAGAUAUGCUGAAACACCUACAGUUUUUGAAAGAAAGAUUCAGAGGUGAAAGUGAGGCUCCACAGGGCAAGCUCACAAAUUUGGAUAGAACCAAAAUGGAACAAUUGGUGAACUCUGUGAAAAACAAUCUUAGAAGUGAAAUGAGCACUCUAUAUGAAGAUAUGGGGAAAUACCUACAGUUUUUGAAAGAAAGACUCAGGGAGCUUCCCAAAAUGGUCAGCGCAGAAGAGUUUCAUCAGAAGGAAGAAGAAUGUGAAAAGCUGAAGGAACAGAAGAGAGUCUUGGAGCAAAAAUUGGACCUUGUCUUGGCCAAUGCAAUGAGAAGCCAUAAGUUCUCUGAGAACUUGAAUGACCCCUGUCGAUUAUCAGCUGUGUUGGAGAUGUACGACAGGCUCAGGAUACAUGAAUGGGAGAAAGCCAAAUGUGCUGCAAGUGUCUCCACCUUUCCAAUGACGUAUGAAAAAGGUAGCACGAUAAUUAAGGCUGUGUUUUCCAUAUGUGAAGAAGAGCUGUCACAAAGA
rnacentral:lncRNA from 1 species